GGACAGAUGGCCGAGCGGUCCAAGGCGCCAGACUAAGGAGAGAAACCAGCUCAUUUGAUGAGCGAGUGUUAUCUGGUCUCUUCGGGGGCGUGAGUUCGAAUCUCACUCUGUUCA